GCCAGAGUGAGGCAGGCUUUGAGGAGCUUGCCAAGGAGGGCGAAGGCCUUGCUUUGAAAACACUUCUCCAGUUUGCUGACUCGUGGGACUUGGCAAGCCCAGGGAAUAGUGCUGAAGGGAAGAAAGCCCCUGGAGGGGCCUCCCGGGCGGCUGCAGGCAACCCUGCUCUUUUCAUUGGCCCCAUGUGACGCCCACAAGGGAGCAGGCCUCGAAGGCCUUGUAAAUGAGUGUUUGCAGGGCCCCUCCCUGACUACAGCCCAUAUGUCAGGACACACACCUCCGGACUGCUAAAUGGCUGAGAAAAGGACAACCGUUUUCCGUGUUGGUACGACAUGCAGCAUUGGCCAGUCAAGGAUUGAGAUCAGUCAGAGUGACAGUUUCUGGGGAAACCCUCAAUACCUUUAAGGGGAGAUCAAGGACUCUAUUGAGUUGCAGAGAAGUUACUGAAGCCAUUCAUCCAUUUGGCCAACAGCCAUCAACGCAGGCCAAGGGUGUACAUGGUAAGGCACAAGCAACAUACAGACUUGGCGGGAGACAGCACAGCCCUUGCCUCUGGAAGUUCACAACCGAGCACAGUGCAAGACCAACAGGUGCUGACAGGCACAGAGGGUGGCCACUUCAUUUAUUUUAGAACCCAAGAGAGCUUCAAAGAGGAGUUAACUUCUGGGGUUGCUCUUAAAAGAGGGAUAGGAUUGCCAAGGCUAGGGAAGCCAGCCAGAGAGUAAAGCAGACAAAAACCUAUGGAGUUCAGAGAACCUAUGCCAGGGCCAGAUCAUAGGGUGGAAGGAGUAGGAAGCCCUAGAGGGCAUCUGGCCCCAUGAAAGGCCGUGGCAAUGAAGAGGAGUCAGGACACUGCUGGGGGGUGGUGAGAGGGUUUUUGUUCCAUCUAACCUCAGAAUAACUUCGACGGUGUUGGGAGGCCAGACUGUGGGGACUUGGGUUUCCAGACUAGAUAUGGGGAUGGGGGGGCGGGGUGUGGCCAACACAGUGAACACAGGAGCGACAGUGGGUUUGGAAGGACAUUGUUCAAUUUGGUAACAGAAAAGUCAAAUUUGAGCUGAUAACAACUCAGUGCUGUAAAAAUCUCUAGCUAUUUAAAUAAUAAAUUAGCUACUUUUAAAACUAAAAGGCACAGCAAUUGCUAAUAAACUGGGGAGAUUCUAAGAGCCUCUGCCUUUUUGGUGGCUCUGGUACUAACUGGAUCCAUCCUCAGACUCUGAGGCGCAUUAGGAUCAGGAUGGGAGGGAGGACACACAGACAGUGUAGGUGCCCGAGCCUCACCCCCAGGGCAGUGGGGUCUGUUCCUCCCACGGCGACACCAAUUCCAGGUUACCCAGUCAGUAAAUCAAACAUCAAGGAGAUACCUUUAAACUUUCAACUUCUUUCUCAUUAAUUAACUAGAAAUAUCUUCACCUGUUUACUUUUUAGCUAAAAAAUCUCUUUAACUGAUUAAAUGAAGUGAAUUCCCACUAGCCAGCAGAAAGAUGAGUGACCACUGGCCCCAGGAGAAGCUAAGAUAGCAGAGGCUGUUAAGUGAAGGUGAGAGUCCACAGAGAAACAAAGAGACAGAAACUGGGAGAGAAGGGCUAACAGGAAGCAGGUCCGGGCACUGCUGGCAAAGCAGCUCAGCAGUCAUGGAUAAAAUGCUGUGAAGAGUGGGCACGAGGGAGCUCUAGACUGUGUCCUUCAUCCUCUGAGACCCCACAGCCUGGGGGGUCAGAUGCUCAGCCUGCAUCAGUCUCAGCAGCUCCACUCAGAGAAGGCCCCAUGAAGUCUGUAGGUGUCCCUCCCUAGGUUGUUCUGCUUCGACUUUGCACCUCACAGCUUACAUGUCCUGCAGAAUCAUUUCAAAGUUGACCAAGACUUGCUAAAUUAUCCCAUAAGGACAAAAAAAGGUAUGGCUGGAAAACAAUAGCAAGCAAAGGUGCAGUGCAGCUGAAAAUGUACCCAUCAUCACAAUGUAAUAUCCCAACCAAACAAGCUUGGUGUUAAGACCGGCUCCACCCCAAAAAGAGAAUCUACUUUCUUUUUAUCGGAAACCCAAACCACACUUGAACCUAACUGGCCUGAUUAUGAUAACCUCCUAACAUGUACAGGUAAAGUGACCCACCAUGCCAGGCUCUCCAGGAUUCUCCUGGUUUUGGCAUUUGAAAAUCCCAUGUCGUUGGAAACCCCUUGAUUCCAGAUAGUCAGGACAGUUGGUCAUCAAGGGUACAGGUUAUGGGGCCAUGAGAAUAUGAGUUUGGGAGCAAGAUGGAUCCUAGGACUCCUAGACUCCCUCUUAGUAGAUGUGGGCCAUUUAAUACCUCUGGCUUCAUUUAGAUUCCUCCCUCGACAAAUAGGGUUUUCAACACCUGAUUUGUAAAACUGUUUACAAGGAAGAAACUGUAAAGUAAUAGAAAGCAAGCAGGCGGGCCAGGGCCAGCUCCAGCCCCCUAGGGGAACCCUGGGCUGGGCUGCUUGUGUGACAGGGACCAGCACAGCACAGCCAGGAUGGGAAAUGACCACCAUCCAACACCUCUGCCUCUCUCUCCUGGCACAAAUCUGCCUGACUGUGCAAGCUGUGGUUGCCACUAAAGGUUCCCCAUCCCUCAGGGGUUGAGCACUUGCUGUGUGCCUCAAGAGGAGGAUUUCUGUGGCUGCUUGAGAACCACCACACAGAGACAUGUGGGGCCAGAUAAGAAACCCCCAUCCCCAGGCACAAAGGUCCUGCCGCUCCUGCUGUGUGUCCAGGCAAGAGGAGGGGACCAGCCCUGAGGCCAAGCCACCAGUGUUCUUAAGUGUUCUGUGUUGCUGAAUUUCUGUCCCCAUGGGACACUCCACUGCACAGUUCAGCGAGAGAAUGGCAAGAAUCUUCUCAUGCCUCUGUCCUCUGAGCUUGGCAGAGCCCUGAGUCUUCUCAUUAGCCAAUGAGGUCUGGAGUGUGCUAGUCACAGUGAGGUAGUGAGUGCCCCGGAGAGGAGCUCAAAGCAAAAAAUGCUGGCCCUCUUUCGGUCACAAUGGCAAGGAGAAGAAUAAAACUCUUUUCUUUUCAGAUUUUGAGGGUCCUUGCACUCCUCUGUGGGCUUUUUCAAUAGCUGUUUGUCAUUUACAGGUAAACAACCGAGAGAUAGGAAAAAGGGAUACUGGUAGAGAUGCAAGUGGUUUCUCUCUGACUGGGCCCCUAACAAGUGGCAACCCCAAGAUCCUGCCGUCCAUCCAGCAGUUUGGGGAGGCAGGCAGCAAACAAACUCAUAAAGAAAGAGAAUGUGAGAUGAUGGUAAGUGCCCUAAAACAACAUUAAAAAGGUAAUGUAAUAAGCAAUAGGGACAGGAAGGAGUCUUCUGGAUUGCAGGUGAGGGAAGGCCUUUGUGAAGGAGAAUGUUUGAGCUGGGACCAGGUCGAUGCGAUGCAAAGGAGUCAGCCAUGCCAAGAUGCGGGGAGGAGUGUUCUAAAAACAGCACAAUGGGACAAGGACUCUAAAGUGGGAGCAAGCAUGGGUGGGGUAUAGAAUUGCAAGAAAGUCAGUGUGGCUUGAACGCCAGGGAAAGACAGUGGCAACCUGGCAGAGAUAGAGAGGCGACAUGGGCCAAUACAGGGUGUAUUUUUUAAUGUUCACCCACAGGACUUGUUGAUGGAUUAACUGGGGUUGGGAAUAAGCACCUAGAUUUCAGAUGAAUAGAAAAAGAUGGAAGAAGCCUGCUUUGGUUAUGUCCAGCUCGAGGUGGCUGCUGACUGUCCUAGGGGAACAGUCAAGUGGGUGGCCGGGGAGACAGAUGAGAGGGGCGCUAGAGCUAGAAACAGGGGAGAGAAAAACUUACAUGGAGGGUUGAGAAAUGAGACUCUUUGCUGCCUUGCCCAGCUUCCAAAUGCUCCUGGCUACCCACACCCUCUGAAGCCUGAGCCCUUUGGUGUUUUAAACUGCCAGGCUGUGCACCAGCUCUGCAGGCUUCUCAUGCUGGUUCAUGGAAAGAUCUGGCCCACUUCCUGCCCAACUUUCAUGUAUUCUCUCAGCCAGCAUGCAUCCAGGGCUUGUUCUGUGCAGGUGCUAGGCCAGAUCCUUGCCCUGCAGAACCAAAGGCUGCACUGGGGGAGGUGGCUCGUGUGAAAGGAGAUGGGAGGACAGGGAGAGGGUGUGGCCGCAGGAAGUGGCAGGAGAGGGGGCAGGCUGUCAAGAGGCCAACUUGCCCGACCCUUCCCACCUGAGGACUUGGGCUAGGUCUGACUGCAGGCUGUUAAGAGGCCUGCAGCUGCUCGAAGAGAUGACCUCUUAGAGCUUCCUCCUGUUCCAAAGUGCUGCAGUUAUCUGGAGAUUAAUUCCAAGCAGACAAAUCAUUUAAGGAAAAAGCAAAUUUUAGAAUUCCUUUACAUCAAUUAUGCUUUUCUAUUUUAAACCUAAACUUCGUGAUAAUUGCCUACAGCCUGGGCAGUUCCUCCCCAGACAAAACAGUUUUUCAGUUAAAUUCUGUGCUUUGCACUUCACAGCAAGGACACCCACAGAACAGACUCCAGCCCACCCCUCCUCCUCCUUGGGCUCCACCUCAGAGUACUCAGACCAGAAGGUGCAGCAAAAGCUCUUUUGUAUCAAGUACAGCUAUUAUAGGGUGUGGCCCCCAGUAGACACUACCUUCUCUAUUAUUUUGACAGUGUGACUUCCUGUGAUAUUACUAAGUAUCUCCUGUAAUCUUGGUAACAAAGGCUCAUACUUGGGGUUUUUUUUUCUCCUCUCAACAAUAUACUUGACAUUUACUACAUCAUCAAACGGUUUCUGAGGUUUUAGGGCUAAAGCUCUGAACGUAUUACUUCCUGUCCCAGCAGCAGUUCAGGUGCCCUGAGCAGCCCUGAGGCCUCAGAAGUAGGGCUGUGGCUCUGCUGUUGACUUUACCAGACCAUCCAGCGAUUUCAAAGGCAGCCUGUCCUCAGAGCAGAUCCUCCCAAGGGCUGAGAAAUGGGCUCUGGACCUGAAACCACUAGCCGUCCCAUCCUAAGAUCUGUUCCUUCCAGCCCCUGAGCAAUUCACUUAACCUCUGUGCUACACAGAUUAAUAGUAUGGGGCAAGAUGAGCUCUAGGGAAUGGACAAGCAUCCAAUUCCCUAGAGUUGAAAUACAGGCUAGAACUGCUCUCAGGACCAAUGAGGUGACCUCCAUGAAAACUGCAGUAGAACCACACAUUUUUCCUAGAGGUAAUUAAACCUCUCCCCAGUGACCUGGUACCAUGGGGAUUUGAUGGACCUGCACUAUGAAAUAUGGAUUUGUGGCCACUAGGGCAGAAAAGUACUCAUGAUUUCUCCAACUCUUUAUCCCUCCUGCACCAUUUACAGCAUACCCACUUUUGAGCAGGCCCAAAUCGAGACUCAGGGACGAAAGGAUGAGUACAGCAAAGUCUGUCUCCUCCAAGGACAGAAUGUCUAGGAAGUGGGACUGCACAGAAACCCACAGCUUACCACGGGCAGGGCUGGAGAAGGCCUGAGUGGCACAGGAAAGGAGCCCUUAAUUAUUCCCAAGUGAUUGGAGGGGGGAAGGGAAGGCAACUUCCCAGAACAGCUAAUACUUAAGCUGACUGAAAACUUUAGUAGUGGUUGAGCAAUUGGACAUUUCAGGCUGAGGCAGCAGCAGAUGCCAAGGCCCAGGCCCAGAGUGAAGUGCUUGGUGAAUAACACUGAUCCAUCAGGAUGACCAUGGUGUACAUGGGGCAGUGCUGGAAACCAGGCCAAGGCUUCAGUAUGUGCUGAGGAUUAUGGCUCUACCUCAUUCCAGGGCUUAAUCGGUGGAACACAGUAUAGAUUGUAUUGUCUAAAGGUCAGGGGCACUGAUUUGGGAGGUGAGCUAGACCUGAAAUUGAAUCCCUGAUUGGUGCAAUCCAGGGAGAAAUACUAAAUCUUCUAAACCUCAUUUUCUCCUCUAUAAAAUGGGCAUACUGAUACCUGCCUCACAGAUAAUUUUUUGUAAGAUAAUAAAUGUACUGCGCAUAAUACCUGGCAGUUUUAGUAGCUGGUUAAAAGAGAGGUAAGGUCUCAAUUUGUGCUUCUAGAAUUAUUGCUCUAGCACCAUUUGGAAGGUGGGUUGGAAGGACACAAGACAGGUGGCAGGAAUGAAUCUAGCUGUAUGAAAGCACACAAGCACAUGUACCACUUGAUAGUGGGGUAAACAACAUACUGAAGAAACGGUGUGAUUUAAUUAAAAGGGAAAGAGGAGGAGUCAGAAAAGGCUUCAUAGCAGAGGUGACACAGGAAAUAGGUCUUGUCAAGAGGAGAAACAAGAGAACAACACAGAUGAGACAUGAAAGCAUAAAAGUUCAAGGCAUAGAGAAGCAAUGAGAAUAAUCCAGGGCCAUGGAGGAGGAACAGGGAUAAAUGCUUUCCUGGGUCCACAUCCAGGAGGCACAUAUUAUAUGGCAAUGCAUGUGCCUGGGCCAGGGCAAUUAUGAUGAGUCGGGGCCAGACCUUGGGUUAGACCUUGAAUGUGGAAUUUAUUUGCUAAGAAAUUUAGAAUUUAUUGAGUACCUAUCAAGGAACCUAUUCCUUUGUUAAAAUUGUCUGGGGAAUUCUGAUCACUGACCCAUAAAAAAGUUUUCAAGAAAGUAGGGAAAUUGCAGUGCAAGUAUGGCCUCUUGGUCCUGGGCAAUGAACCUAAUCUCUUCAUGCUGCACGAUAACCCAGGCAGGCACAUUAAAGUUAAUAAUAAUGCCACGAAGAAAUAAAACACCAAGCCAUUAAAGAACUUACCCAAAGUCACCCAAUGAGUAAACGGACAGGUGGGCUGGGAACUCUGAAGUUCAGAAUAGAACCCCCUGUAGGUAAAAGACUAGAAAGUUUUCUUUUUUUGUACCAGGGAUUGAACUGGGGACCUUGCAUUUGCAAGGCAGGCAGCAGAACCACUGAGCUAAAUCCCCGGCCCUAGAAAGUUUUCUUUCUAGAAAGUUCUGGCACUCAUGUAGCCACGGUUGUACCAACAGGAAGUCAAAUUGCCAUACAAGGGCUCUUGGGACAGAUGGGUCAAAGGAAAGGGGUUUCUCAGUACACCAAGAAGGCACAAAAGCACUUGAGGUUUGUUUCACCUCCCUUCCUGGAGGGCAGUCCAGCUUGUGUGAGAAUUUUUUUUUUUUUUUUUUGUACCAGGGAUCAAACUCAGGUCCUUGGGCUUUUGAGGCAGGUGGUGGAACCACUGAGCUAAAUCCCCAGCCUGAGAAUUUUUUUUUUUUUUCAGAAAGGGCAACACAUUACCCACACACAUAGGUGGUUUGGGGAAGAGCUGCAAGCAUUGAGGUGAGAGAAGCUGAGUCCAUCAUGACUUCCAGGGAUUUCCAAAGUGAAAUCAGUCUACUCUCUCCCCACUUCAAUCAACUCUGAGAGGCACAGUUUGAGGCCCUUUAGGGGUCAUUGCUGAGGGUGGGAAGAUUGAGCUUCCUUCCUCCAUGAAACUGCACCUUCCUCCUCCACCUUCUGCUCUUGGCCCCGUGACUGUUCUCACUAAAGAUAUUAGUCUUCCCUGGUCAUGCUAGCUCAGAAGUUCUGAAGUUAUGUGCAGAAACAAGGGGCCAGGCUACCAGUAUCUCAAGGUUAUCUGAAAAUCCAAGGUUCUCCAGUAAGUUUGUCAGGGAGAAGGAUAUCUGCUCAAAUCCAGGGAAGAUUUCAGUUGGGAAGUGGGUGCUCUGAAGAAAAGACCAAAUUCCAACUCAACCCGAAUGUGGGAAAGGAAGGGUAAAAAGGAUUAAACAAUGAUUUGGUGAAAACAAUUAUGAGGUCUAUGUCAGACACUUCAAGUCCAUUCAGUUACAUACCACUUCCAUUUCACAGAUAAGAAUCAUAGACAAAGAGGGAAAUAGCAGAAUGUGAACGAGGAGCUAUCUGACUUCAAAGCCCAUGUCUCCCCUCCCUGCCACUCUGCCAUAUAGAAGAUCUUUUUCCAACAUUCAAUCUCUUUAAUCACAAGAACUGAAGGCAGCUACUUCGGCAUCUCUGCUUUCUGAUCCAUGCAGAUAAGAAGCUAGAAAGUAUGUACUGGGGAUAGGAAAGCUCAGAAACAGACACCACUCCAUGCCUUCUCUCCCUCCCCUUCUCAGUCACCCUCAUGGCGCAUCUGACCAUGAGCAGUCUUCAUCCCAAACCUUGCCCCUUUGAGAGCAGUAAAGGACCAAGAAAGGUAAUCUUCCUUGCGUUGGUAUAGAAAGUAUAUUUUCCCCUUGUUUCCAAACACAGGAGCCUCCAGCAAACCAUAUUUCUUUUGAUGAUGGAAGACAGAAGUGUUCCCUCCCUAUGAAGCUCCUAGGAUAUUGGUUGAGGCAGCAAAACAUGGCAAAGCCAGACAAACCAAGUUGAAAAUAUCUAGGAGAUAACUUCCCCCAGGUCCCCUGGGGAGUCAUUAAAUUCUGUGUCUUCAUUUCCUCCAAGGUAGAAAAAGGGGUAAUAAUUCUGACCUACCUCACCAGAGCAUUGAAAAUAGGAAUAACUAAUUAACGCUAGUGCAGCACUUUUGAAAGUAAAAAGCACUUUGCAAUAAUUAACAUGGUUUCUGCUUUCAUCUCCUGCAGCCUCAUAAACAGAGAACUGGUUCCCGGAUAGCCAUGAUGGCAAAAGCAAGCCAGGCAGCUGGCUUUCCUGAGGAGGCACAUGGUGGCUCUGUCGGGGCCAUCAAAGUUGUCUCAGGGCUUCCGUCCACUGGAGACUGCUGCAAGCUGACAAUUUCAAAUCCAUUUGCAUCCACUUAGCUUUCCAGAGACCAAGGCAUUUUUCAGCUACAGCAAACAACACAUGAAUGUGAAGCUCGGAGCAGGCAGCACAGGGCAAAAAAGGAUUGGGAAGUCUCUGGGGCUGCUGCUAACUUGUCUUGAAAAAUCAAAAUGAACUUUUUUCUUCAAAGAUUCUGCUUCAAUUCAUCAUCAUUAUAAAAACACUCAAGUCCUUGAGGUCUGAGGCUGCAGUGAAUGCAUACAAAAUGGGUUUUCUGCAGGGGAAAAAACAUAUAAUAAUGUCCUAAAGCUCUUCUUUUGAGCUAUGGGCAGCAGGGAAGUCUGGUUUGAAAUCCAACCUUCACCUCCACUGAGCAAAUUUUGUUAAUUAGGAUGUGUUUGCCCUCCUUAAGGCACCUUCUUUCUCAGGAGAUUUGUAUCUGGGGAGGGCCUUUCCGAAAGGUAGAACAUCUUUAAUUAUUCAAACUGCUGGACCCUGGAGCAUGAUAUCCCCUUUGCCAGCUGUCAUUGGCACCCCAAAAGUAACACAGACUUCAUUAGUGUAUCAUGGAAACUCUAUUAUAGAUGGGGGCUGGGGGUUGUUAACCUGGUUUAUUAGUGUAACACUUCAGGUCCAUAUGGUAAAAGGGCUUCUGUGGGCUGGGCUGAGACUCACCAGGCAUGAUAGUGUUUCUUAGGAAAGUAAGUUCUGAUUUCCAAGUGGCUGCCUUUGAAUCUGGAAUGCAAGCCAUUUCUAAGAAGGAAAAUGCCCUGAAAUAUUAGAUGCAUGUUUUUUCCCAUUAUUUCAGAGGUGAGGAAUGCAGUUAUCUUGAACUUCCUUUAGAUAGAUGGUUUCCUUUUCUCCUUCUCCCCCUUCUUCCUCUUUCCCCACCUCCAUGCCAUUUUAUGAGCUGAUAAACCAUUAGUAGUUAACAUGGACUUCUCAGAAGGCAGUCAAGGAUAAACUUUGCCAGAAAGGGCUGAUUCAGGUGGGGUUACAUGACAGGCUCUGUAGUCCCGAGGGACACUUUUCCAGACUUGAGCAUAAUAUGAAUUCAGGGAGGCAAGAAAGAAGAGUCACAAGAUGAGCCCUCAGGACAUCCUUGCAUAAACCCCCAAAGUCAGGGGCUUAAGAAAGAGAUGUGAGGAAGAAGAUAAGAUCCAGAAGCAAAGAAAUUUGUUAGAGACAGACUGGCAAAGACAGAAGACCAUAGCAAGGACAAUUCUGAGUCCAGCAGUGGACCAGGUACAAUGACAGCCAGCUCUCCCUACCCAUGGGUUCCAUAUCAGUGGCUCCCACCAUCCAUGGACAGAGAAUACUCAGCAAAAAUAUUACAUCUCUACUGAAUGUGUACAGACUUCUAUUCUUUAUCAUUAUUUGCUAAAUAAUAUAAUAGAAAAACUCUCUACAUAGCACUUACAUUGUAUUAGGGUAGAAGUAAUCUAGAGAUAAUUUAAAGCAUACAAGAGAAUGUACAUAGACUAUAUGAAAAUACUAUUCCAUUUUAUAUUGGGACUUCAGCAUUUGCAGAUUUUGGUAUCUUCAGGGAUCGUAGAGCCUGUUCCCCAUAGAUACCAAGGGGUGACUAUACUUGAUGAGUUUUGGAUAGGCCCAAGUGAAAAGCAAACAUAGAUUAUGAACAACUCCUUUCACAGUGAAAAUCAAAAGGCUACUCUCCUUCCUCCAGAGGACAAUGAAUUCCCCCCCCUUAGAGCCAAGUGGUGCAAGCUUGGUAGCCCCUUCCUAGGUCUACUGGAGAGAAGGUAGCAGUCAGGCCAAGAUCCAGUAUGCCCUGGAACUCCCUGCUAGAGGUGCUCAUGACACCUUCCCUCCAUGAAAUGUGGUCAAUGUCAGAAUAGACAAGUAGGGAGAGAAACACCUCACUUCCAUCCUGGUAUGCAGAGGCCAUACUGAAAACCACUAGCAAUCUCAGCAACACAGCACUGGCCCAACCGAUGGAUAUGAUCACAGGCAUAGCCAGCCUCACACAAGGCCCACAGGCUAAAGACCACCUCUGCAUAGCUGUGUCAGUCAGUAAAGCAUCUUUCAAGAUUAAACAAGAAAAUACAUUAGUGAAGGAUGUAUGAUGCCUUCGUAUAAGACUUUACAUUCAAUCAUUAUUAUAAUCUUGUGUAGGACACACUUUCUAAGCAUGAGACCUGUGCAGUGAUAUGGGACACCACAAACCUAAAGGGACCCCACUUGUGGCUAAUGCUCUGCUAUCACUUUCCCGAUAUUCUUUAUUUCAGAACAAAGAGCCUGCAUUUUCUUUUCUUUUCUUUUUUGGGGCAGAGGGAGUACUGGAGAUCGAACUCAGGACCUUGCACUUGGGAGUCAGGUGCAGUGCCACUGAGCUAAAUCCCUAGCCCUGCAUUUUCAUUUUGUAUUGGAGUCUACAAAAUAUGUUGUUGGUCCUUGUCCAAUGGGGGAAAAAACACAGGUGUUACCAACUGCCCCAUUUACAGAUCCAGAAAAAGAGGAUUAAGCAGGUUAAACGGCUUCCCUAGGCUCACCUCACUAGUAAGCAGCUAACUCCAGCUCCAGACCUCACACUUCCUGUGUUAGAUAGCUUUGUGCCACUGGGACAAAAUGCCCGAACAAAAAACAACUUAACAGAGGAAAAAUCUAUGUUGACUCAUGGUUUCAGAGGUCUCAGUUCAUGGUCACUUGGCUGCCCCCAACAGGAGCUGUCCAAACUGGGCCAGACUGGACCAAGCUGGGCCAGUCAGAUUUUCUUUCCCGGGAAUCUGGAAUUGGCAUCCAGCCAACAAGGGGCAAAAGAAACAGCUGGAGCAGUUGUUGAAACAGAGGAAGGGUAGAUUCGGGCAUAGGACAGUCAUGUAAUAACAUUUGCAUCUCCUAUCCUUUCUCCCCACACUCCAAAUUUAUGACUCCCAGAAACAUAGCUAGAGGAAAAGGUCAGGGUCUACCAUAUUGCCAGGAGAUAAUAAUCCAGACAUUUUAGGGGAAACUUCCUUAUGUGAUCUCACUUGUGGCUGAAAACCUACCAGACCUGCUGGUCAUGGGAGUUACAUGAGGAUGGACAGCUGUGAUUGCUAACAUUUCUUAUUCAUGCUGCUACUAUUGUUUAAUCUGUAUAAAUAUAUGUAGCACUUCCUAUAUUCCAGAUACUAAUCUAAGUGCUUUACAUAUAUCAAUUCAUUUAAUUUUCCUAAAAGCCUAUAAAAUAGGUAUUACUAUCAUCAUUCCUGGUCUAUAAGUAAAGAAGCUAAGGCACAAAGAAGUUAUGUACCCCACCCAAAAUCACACAGCUCAUAUGUGGUAGAGCCAGGCUUUGAACUCAACAGCCUGACUGCAAGCAAAGUCUGAAUUCUUAACAUUCACCAACUACCUCUCGAAAUAUUAUCCUGGCUGGUCUGAAAUAAAUAACAUGCAAUUUCCACUUCUCAGUUUAAUUUUACCUAAUCACAAUGCAAUGUUUUAAAAAUGUUGCUUAUUUAGAAUCAAAAAAGCCUCUGAGCAGUCAAAAUAAAAUGACAAUGCAAAAGCAUGAGCACUCAGUCCCUAAGAUUUUCACUCAACCCUCAUUUACUCACAUUCUCUCUCCCUCUCCUCUUCUUCUUUUUACAUGUAAAAAAGAAUCUAGGGUAGAGUUUCACCUAGGAUAUGGACCAUUAUCUGUAUCCAAAUGAUCCAAAAUGUAUCACUUCCUCUCAGGUACAGCUUUCAAUCUGUCCACUUGGGGUUCUGCAUAUCCGCAAUUUUGAUCCCAAGGAAGGAUCACACUACAGGGUCUUACCCUUUCCUACCAGCUGGUGUGUGCUCAGAACAUGCACAACUGGAGCCAAUAUACACAGGACUGUAGAAAUGGGCCCAAAGAACCACCCCAUGGGACUCUCAAAGUCAAAUAUAGAAAGUCAUUGGGGUCCUCUCUUCAGUUUGCCUUCUGCUAAGGGAAAGGAGUCAAACGCAUUCGGAACUCUCCGUCCCUUGUCUUGUAACCAUCCUCUUUCUCACUGAGCCCCUUUAGACUUUAGAUUCUCUAUUGAAUGCUUCACUCUUUCUUAAUUUUUGCUUUUUAAUCUAGCUAACUCUGGUGUAAUAUCAUCUUUGUUUUUAAAUACCUUGUUCUUAAAAGGCCUACAAUACGGUAUGUAUACAUAUAAACUUCCCUUAGUGAAUGUAUCCAUUAUCUAUAGCAAACAUGUACUAAUAAAAUAGUAAAAUAAGUAUAUAAAUACUUCCUUCUUAGUAAAGUGUAAAUUCUACCAUAUGUAAUAUAGUUCAUUCAGUAAAUAUUUUGAUCUAUGUAUUCUGUAUUUUAUUAUUAUGUACAGUAAAUAUAUUUAAUAAAAUUCUUUAAUUCAUAAAAUAGAUUCCUUACCCAAACUGCUAAUAGAGUUGUGAUUUGGGUUCUCCAGAAAAUGGUCAUGGUGUUGGUUCUCCCCUGUCAGCAUCUCACUCUUAGCAGAUGCUUUAAAAUAUUCUUAUUUGAAUUGACUUGCUAGGCUAGGUAGCUUUCAAGAACUGGGUGUGUGUAGUUUCAGUCCAUCUGUCUACUCAGCAAGGUCUUGGCAGCACUAACUCUUCCUUUACACCUAACACAUAUUUAUUAUUCUUUACACUUCUUUCCUUAAAUUCUGAAAUCUUUUUUUUUUUUUUUGGUACUGGGGAUUGAACCCGGGUCCUUGAGCUUGCUAGGCAGGUGGUGAAACCACUGAGCUAAAUCCCCAGCCCCUUCUGAAAUCUUAAUUACUGGCAAUACCACCCUGAAUGACUCCUGCCAUCAGCACUGGAACUGACCAUUCCUUCAACACUUACAGAGGAUUUUGCUGUGCACCAAGACUAGGAACUAAAGCAAUGACAGCUAUUUCGUUUGUCCCCAACAGCCAUGUGGUAAGUGUGACUCCAAGGUAAGUAGGACAAUUAUUCCUUUUUAACAGAUGAGGGACAGAGAGGUGAUGUGACUUUCUCAAAAACCCAGAUUUUAUAUUAAAAAAAAAAAAAAAGAAGCACAGAUUCAAACUCAGAUCUGUCUAACAUCAAAAUCUAUUCUCUGGGGACUUGACCAGCCUUUCCCAGCUGAAAAGUUCCAGAUAAGUUCCAGACAGUCAUUGAUAAGACAAAUGCUUAUCACCCACCUUUGUAGAAAUGAAGACUCUCGUACAACUGGCUCUCCCAGAGCACUCACUUGAGUUUUCUUCUUUAAUGCAGUAGAGAGGUUUCUCAGGAAAGAGAUAUCAGAUGGAAAUUUGGGUCCAGGAAACUUUCCACAGAGUGCUAUGCGGGCUCAGACCUGGAAGUAGAGGAAAUAGGAUGAGGCAGGGAGAGGUUGGACCUCAGGGCAGUCAGAACCUUGACCUCAGCUCACUCAUGGUACCAAUUAAGUAUCCAAAAUUUAGUGAAAGAGAUUGAGCCUUUAUACCCCACAGUGAUGACCCCCUGGAUAUGCACUGCCCCAGGAAACAGACAUGACCUUGGCCCAGGAAAAUCCCAGAGAGGGACUCACCUGACUGCUGUCAUUGCCCUCACUUCUGGCUGCUGAGGGAACAACUGUUCCAUGGACAAAUGCACCUCAGAGAGGACCUCCAAAUAGUGCCACUAAAGAAGACAUUCUCCCUUCUUCCCCAAACAUGGAGUCCUGUCAGCUGGUCUUGUUGACCACCAUACAGAACAGCCUGUACCUCAUAAGAUGCCUGUCUCAGUGUGGGGCAGAGAUUUCUCGUUAAGGAUGUUCCAGCCGUGAACUCUACUGAAAGGCUGGUUUCAAGCUCCUGGAUGCAAAUGACCCUCCUGCUUCAGCCUUUCAAGUACUAUAAUUACACUCAACCAUCGUGCCCAGCAGAGGUAGCAGAGGCUGCUGAUGGAACUGCCUGGAUGAUUCCCGAAAAAGCCUGGAAGACUUCAGACCAGUGGCCAAAUGCACAUGAGUUCCCUGUGGUCCUUCCUUCCUUGAUCUUCUACCACAACAACAAUGUGUUUCCAUUUAAACUGAUGUAGAUAUGCACUUGUAACAAUGGUGAAUGGUCUCAUUUCUGAAUAUUAGCCUAAAAUGCAGACGAGGAGUGCUCCCAUGUCCUUAGCAUUAGGUAGAUCUUUGGUCAAACUACAGCAUUCUCUUUUACUACUUUCUCCCUUGGGCUCAAGAUGUGUUGUCUGAAAAGUGAGAGAUAGCAGUACAGUAAUACCUCAGCUUAGGAAUGCUCCUGUUCAUGAACAAUUUGGUUUGCAAACAGAAGCAUUUGGAACAACUUUGCUUCCAUUAUCGAACUUUGUAUCAAGUGACAAACAUGAUCGCAGCCAUCUUCCCUAGAUGAACACAAAUGUGACCAUCUUGCCCAGAAUCAUGGAACCAAUUAAGUGCAUGAACCAAGGUACCACUGUACCUCCUUCCCAGAGCUACUUGAAGAUUGAGUAAUGUCAUUAACAAGCUCUUAAAGCAACCUGGCUUCCACCUCUUAUAACACUUUGUCUCAUAAUCAUUCCAUCAACUCAGUGCUUGUCUAGUGGCUGUCAUCCCAAUGGAUUGUAAACUUCAAGAAAGCUUUAUUCAUGGCUGUGUUCCCUGGGACACAGACUAUUAAUAGACAGACUAUUUUGUGCAAUGUGGUGCCUGUGGCACAUGUUAUAUACUCAAUAAAUGUUAGCUCUUACUAGUAAUACCCAGCUCAAACAAUAAAAACAAGCAGUGUAGUCAAGGAAAGACUACCUGGUGAAACCUUUGACCUCAGAACCCUAUUGAAAGAAUGUGAACUCCACCAAGAGGAGCGAGUAUUGUGUUUUCUGUUGCAAAGAAGGACUCAGAGACUCAAAGUCUAUCACACCUACAGACCACCAAGAAAUGAGCUUCUUCCCCCAGACUCUCCCAGCCUGAGCCACAUCACUGCUCUUGAAAUUCAGCCUGAUCUGUGAGUCUGAAUGAAUGUGAGCUGCGUGGGUGGCACACAGUAUGAGCUCCAGCGAGAGGCCCUAGUUCUUUCCCAAGAAGGUGUGACUUUUGAUUUCCUUCAAGUACGAUCAAGGUGGGUGAAGCAGUGGUGUUGGAAGGCUGGUGAGCUGUGGGCUGGCUGAGUCAGUGUUGGACAAGCUCCCCUCGGGAAUUUCCCACAGGGAGGGGAGCAGGUGGCAAUUGUCAGCUGGGAAAUUAACCAGGUGUGACUUUGAGAUCCAUAGGUAGAUUACAGUCUGCCCACAGAAAAGCCUGGGCCUAAUUAAUGAUAUUACUCUGAGUGGAAGUGAGGCCUUAUGCUUGGAAUGAAGUCCUUCACCUUGGCCUUUGUCUCCAAGUGAUAUCCUUUUCUACCUCUCUAGCUCAUGGAGUUGUUACUAGAAUAAAUCAAUGAAAUUAUGUAUAUAUGAAAAAAAUCCUUAGAGACUAAUAACGAAAUAUCAUCUGAAAAAAAUGGUUGGGUUUUCAGAUGGUUUUUGUUUUUGUUUAUUUGUUUUGAAGUGCUAGGGAUAAAACCCAAGAGUUCAUGCAUGCUACGCAAGUCCUCUACCACUGAAAUACAUCCCCAGCCAAUACUGUGUUACUUUUACGAACAAAAAAGUUUUAAUAAAAAUAUAUUGAGACUUAUACUCCCAUAGGAAGAGCCAUGGGAGACAUACAUGAUCAGGGAUCACUGGUCAGGCUGGAAGAGACCCCAGAUGGGUAUAAGCUAAAUGACCCAGGCCCCAAACCCACAGCUAGAAGCCAGGCUCAGCCUGAAUUGAGGUGGAUUUGAAAGUCCCAGAAUUGGCACACCCACCCUAAUCCUACUGACUGCUAGUGAUUGCAGCCUUCGUGGAUGUGGGCUCUGACUGCUUUCUUUAUCUACCAAUGAAAGCAGGGACAGAUAUUGAAUUGGACACCAUCCCAAAAUUGUAGACCCC
ensembl:lncRNA